rnacentral:lncRNA from 1 species
UUUAAGACUUUUCAGCCCGUGAACACAGAGAACCCUCCCCCCCAUUUUGGAUGUCGGAGUGACGGAGAAACAAGGUCACGAAACAGAAGGAUUUUUGAAGAAACCAUUCAUCUUAUCUUCAUCAUGGCAGCUACUUUGUCACCUUGAGGAUCGCCUCUAUCACUUCUUCAAUUGUUUUUUUUCUUUAACCCAUAAAACCUUUAAGAUUUUCCAUCCACAACCGUGUAAAAACUAGCCACAAAACACUUUUCUGAUACCAUUUCAGAUCAAGAGUUCAACGAGCUUAAAGUUUCAGAUUUCCGAAUCUGAGUCGAGUUCAAAUUUCGGAUCUCGCCAAUUAUUUGAUUUUCCGAUGAAGUUCAAUCCGUCGAUGCUGUUCUAGGUAAUCUUCAUGGUCUGCGGGUCAAUCUCCUGUUGCUGUUUCCUUUUUAAUCAGAUUUAAUUCGCCGAAUUUUGCCGUAACUAGUUCUCGUUAAUACUAAGGAGUUAAUUAUUGAGGUCCGUCAAUUUUCAUCUCUUUUAUUAAUCAAUGGAUAUAAUUCUUUGUUUCAACCAAUUUGAAUCUUCUUACAAUUUGUUUAAUCUUGGUUAACGUCAUUUUUAUUUUGUUUUUCUUUUUGAAUUUUAUCUUAUAAGAUAUGUCCAAUUAAAUGGAUACAUGAAAGAACUAGGUUGAAUGGAUUGGAAAACAGUGAAUUGUUUUGAAUCGUGGGGUUGAUUAAAAAUGAGUUUCGGUCAAAUUCUUUAAAGCGAUGUUGGACAUGUGGGUUUGGGAUUAAGAUGAACUGAGGGGUUUAGGCUCGAGGCAGUAUUAUCAUUUUAUCUUUAAUUCAUUCUGGGUUCGCUAGUGGUAUGUUUAGGCCGAUCACACCUGGGUAAGAAAACUUUAUGCACAUUAUUAAAUCAUUACAACUACGGGUAUGAUUCCCGUGGUGUAGUUGUGAUACUUAAUUUCAAAUUAGUUUUAAAAAAUGAAUAUCCGUAGUCUGCUAAGUUGAAUGCUUUUUCUUUAAUAAAAUUGAGGUGUGCCGUACAAUCACCUAGUCAUUGGCCCUCAGAUCGAUAUCUUAAUUAGUGUAAAAAAUGCCUUGAAAUCUCAUAGUUUUCUUUAGGCACAUUAAUAAAAUAAAUUGUCAUAGCUACGGGUACGGUUCCCGUGACGUGGUUGUGACACUUAAAUUCUAAAAUCCAGGGGGUACAUUUAUGUGACCUUGCCACAAUUUAAUCUUGUUAAUAAAAUCAACAUGUUGUGGAUCGUGGGUAUGGCUCCUGUGACAUGAUUCGCAACGUGUAAUCAAAUAAUUAGUUUUAUAACAAUGGAUUAUUAAAAGCGGUUUAAAAGGAAUAAAAAUGCACAUAUGUUUCAAAGAUAUUUUAAAUCAAUUAAAUUGGUCAAUAAUAAUAGUCGAGCAACCGUGCUAAAAUCACGAAACCCAGGAAUGCCUAACACCUUCUCUCGAGUUAACAGAAUUCCUUACCCGGAUUUUUGUGUUCGCGGACUGUAAAACAGAGUCAAUCUUUCCUCGAUACGAGACUUGAACCAGUGACUUGGGACACCAUAAAUUAUCCCAAGUGGCGACUCUGAUUUUUAAUUAAAUAAUCCCAUUUUGAUUGUUACUUAAAUUGGAAAAACUCCCUUACACCCCUUCUGGUGGUAGGAAAAAGGAGGUGUGACAACAGUCUUUGCUUAUCUUUUCUUAUGUACUUUUAUCUUUAUUUCGGAUAGUAACGUUGUUGGUCAUUUAAGACUUGUAUUUCAGCAUUAGAGCUCAUGAAUCUGUAUUUACCAGUUUCUGGAGAAUUUAUCAUGUAUUAGAGGUAUUUUGUUAUAAUGAGAUUCCAAAUUUAUUUUAUUUCAACAAAUUCCGUUGUUUUGGUUCUUUAUUGUUAUGUCCGACUUGCCUGGCAAGUGUGUUAGGCACUAGCAUGACGGGUUGAGAUUUUUUGGUCGUGAAAAGUUGGUAUCAGAGCCUAGGUUCAUAUAUAUUACAAGUCAUAAGCAAAUUUAGUAGAGUCUCGCGAAUAGGUUCAGAGACGUCUGUACUUAUCUUCGAGAGUCUAUCGAGUUGUUAGAAAACUUUACUUUCUUGCAUUCUUGUCGUGGGAUUUGUUAUUUCUAAAGUUUGAAACUUGACGAUUUUAUUCUCACAGAUGGUGAGGACACGUGCGGCCGGAUCAACCAGACGGCCACCAAUACCACGAGUUAGGCUGCGAUAGGGGCCAAGGUACAACUUGUACUACAUCCAGAACAGCACAUGUGGAGCCACCAGUUGCUCUAACUGAGGAUCAGACACCAGAUGUUGUUGAGCUGGUGGUACUAAGUCAGGCACCAAUAGUGCCCAUCGUUAUUUCUGGCCUUUAAGAGGCCUUAUCCUAGAUUUUGACUAUAUGUACGA